rnacentral:lncRNA from 1 species
CACCGGCCGCCAUCUCCUCAGGCAGCGCCGGCCCAACCGCCGCCGCGCGCCCGCCCCGCCCCCGCGCGGGCACCGCCUCAGGGGCCUGUGGUGGCGGCGGCGGCGGUGAGGUCUGUCCCGGUCCCCUCAGCCCCGGAUCCCCCAUCCCCGUUAUCCCCGUCCCCGGCGGGGAGGGACUGAACCGGAGCAGCUGUGGGGCCACUUGAAUUUACAGAAGGGAUCAGGUAGGUUCCUGCCAACUGCAAAGUACAGCAGUGGGAGUCCCCGUCUUUAUUUAAAAUCUUCAUCUGUCUUCCAGUAUCUGGCACAACCUCUGCGCUUGAUGGAAGAUAACUGUGUAUUUCAUUGUUGCUUUAUGCAGCUUUAGAAGGUUUUAAACCUCUUCACCGUUAGCUGGUCCUUUCAAAAGAAGUUUCUCCUGUGAGGGUUCCCUCUGCUUCCCUCCAAGAAGAAAGGCUCCCAGAAAUUAAGUCUCUUAACUGGCAUUUUAAGUUAGGACCACCAUUCUCAUUCCUGCUACCACCUUUCUUUGUCAUUAUGGUUGCCGCCAGUUGAGUAAAGAGAAUCUCUCUUCCCUUUCAUUUUGGGAAAGGUUGGGGGGAGGGAAAAGAAGUUGUGUUUUUUUUGUUUUUUUUGUUUUUUUUUCAGGCUGUGCGUUCCUUCUCUUUUCCUGAAAUGGAAUUGCUUGACUAAGGUAUUGUCAUAUUUUCAGAUAUUUUGCCAAAAAACGCACAACCCAAAACAAAAAAUAUGAUUGCACCCCCCCUUGCUAAUUGUGUGACACUCAGGCAUUUGUCUGUCUUGCACUGCAUGAUGAUGUGAUACAGAAGCAGACAGCCAUAGAUGGCCAGAAAAGGCUUAAUUAAGUAUUCUGCAGCUGCUACAAAUUAGAUCAGCAUCUGCAUCUGUGUAGACAAUGAAAUUCAUGGUAAUUUUGAGGGCCAAGCAAAGUAGAGAUUUGUUUUGGAUAGACCCCUAGCCACAAUUCAAACAAAAUUCAAAUCAAACCUGUUCUAAGGGUAGAAAAACAUUGGUCAACUUCAUCUCCUCUUGCUGAAGGCCACUAUGGUUCUCCGUCCUGGCUACAGAUACAGAUUCCAGUGUACCACAUGAAAAGCUGCUGUUACAGUAUUCCCAACUAGAAGAGGAAAUGGCUUUUUUUUUUUUUUUUUUUUUUUUUUUUUGAGAAACCCAAUUCUUAGGCGUUUCCCAGACGAGACUUUGAGAUAUCUUUUAGAUAAGCACCCAACUUUUUGGCUGUUUCUCUGACAAUUUCCCUCAUUUCAAAUUGAAUACCCAUUUCGGGAACUAAAGCUGGAGUAAAUGAUAUGCAAAUUUUAAAGGUCAGUCAUCCUGCCUGUUAUAAC